rnacentral:rRNA from 1 species
UACAGGGGGGGCAAGCGUUGUUCGGAAUUACUGGGCGUAAAGGGCUUGUAGGUGGCCAACUAAGUCCGACGUGAAAUCCCUAGGCUUAACCUAGGAACUGCGUCGGAUACUGGAUGGCUUGAAUCCGGGAGAGGGAUGCGGAAUUCCAGGUGUAGCGGUGAAAUGCGUAGAUAUCUGGAGGAACACCGGUGGCGAAGGCGGCAUCCUGGACCGGCAUUGACGCUGAGGCGCGAAAGCCAGGGGAGCAAACGAG